rnacentral:rRNA from 1 species
GGGACCCGCACAAGCGGUGGAUGAUGUGGAUUAAUUCGAUGCAACGCGAAGAACCUUACCUACCCUUGACAUGUCUGGAACCUUGGUGAGAGCCGAGGGUGCCUUCGGGAGCCAGAACACAGGUGCUGCAUGGCUGUCGUCAGCUCGUGUCGUGAGAUGUUGGGUUAAGUCCCGCAACGAGCGCAACCCUUGUCACUAGUUGCCAUCAUUUAGUUGGGCACUCUAGUGAGACUGCCGGUGACAAACCGGAGGAAGGUGGGGAUGACGUCAAGUCCUCAUGGCCCUUAUGGGUAGGGCUUCACACGUCAUACAAUGGUCGGUACAGAGGGUUGCCAAGCCGCGAGGUGGAGCCAAUCCCUUAAAGCCAGUCGUAGUCCGGAUCGCAGUCUGCAACUCGACUGCGUGAAGUCGGAAUCGCUAGUAAUCGUGGAUCAGCAUGUCACGGUGAAUACGUUCCCGGGUCUU